rnacentral:rRNA from 1 species
AUUGAACGCUGGCGGCAUGCCUAACACAUGCAAGUCGAACGAGUGGCGGACGGGUGAGUAAUGUCUGGGAAACUGCCUGAUGGAGGGGGAUAACUACUGGAAACGGUAGCUAAUACCGCAUACCAUCCGAUGAGCCCAUAUGGGAUUAGCUAGUUGUUGGGGUAACGGCUCACCAAGGCGACGAUCCCUAGCUGGUCUGAGAGGAUGAUCAGCCACAUUGGGACUGAGACACGUCCCAGACUCCUACGGGAGGCAGCAGUGGGGAAUAUUGCACAAUGGGCGCAAGCCUGAUGCAGCCAUGCCGCGUGUAUGAAGAAGGCCUUCGGGUUGUAAAGUACUUUCAGCGGGGAGGCGUUACCCGCAGAAGAAGCACCGGCUAACUCCGUGCCAGCCGCCGCGGUAAUAC